AAUAAUUAAACAAAUCUCACAGCAGUUCAGCUUCCUAACAUCUUUAUUAAUCUUUUUUCUCCUUCCCUCCUGAAAGAGUACAUUGAAAUAUUGCUUUUGCAACCUUAGAGAAGAUUCAGAAUAAGCUUAAUAAUAAAAUACUGCGUUGGCGAUGUGUGUACCUGAUGGUGUCCCGGACCCUUCCCUUCCAGGUGUUAGUGAGUGGGGGAGACUCUGAUGUGUGAGUCCUCACCAAGCUGUUGUGAUUCUCACCUGCUCUUCUAUCGAAUUUAUGGUGACCAAUUUGCCAAACACAAUAAGACUGUUCCUGUGAUUUGAUCCACGCCCUGGCUACGCCUGCACGGCCCACUCUGCUGAGCAAGGUGACUGCAGGCUGCUUGUUCUGAGGCCUGCCUUCUUUAACGUGAUUACAGCGUGCACUUUAGUACAAGUUCGACAAUUCUUUUUAAUAAGCUUCAUAAUUAGUGUUGGGAUGCCUCAUUACAAGUCAUAGCCUGUAGCGGUCCUAGGCCACACAGCCCUCUGCAAUCUGAUUUAUUUUUUAUCAGGCAGCAGGAGCUGUCUGGAGUUUUUGUUUGUAUAAUGGGGGCCUGCAUUAGGCCCCCAGUGUAAAAAUACCACCAGGAAAUUAAUUGCUUCUGUGUGGAUUCACCACAGAUGUGUCCUGUUGAUCAGAAUAGUGUAUUUUUGACUUUGCUGUCCUGCAGUGAAUUGUAAAAAAAUAAAAUGAAACCCAGCAAUGCAAACAUAUUAGCAUCCAUGUAGAUUCAGGAGGCAUCAUUGAAAACAUGGGGCUUCAAAGGAGGAUGUCCAGGGCAGGUUCGAGAUUCUGGUAAGACUUUUUUCCUUCCUUUCCCUUUUCUCACAGCUCUUAUUUGAUAAGAAACCCAUGUAUUUUUGUAUUGCCUGUAAAGGAAACCUCUCCAUGAAAAGCACAGGGCCAGAGUCUCAGUUGGUUUCUGGCUGAAAGAUUACUCACGAUAAAUACACCCCAGCAGAGUGGCUGAUUUCCCCGACACCCACCCCCGGCAUCGAGACCUCUGCAAGCUUCAGCAGACGAGGGCCUGUCUCCAGCGUGCCUCCCGGCCACCCCAGAGGGAACACAGGUGGAUGCUCGGCGGCCGGCCUUGUGGACUCUUCGAGGGUGGCGUGUGUGUGCCACAUAUUUCCCCGUCAGACCCUGGUUUCCCCUCAUUGCUCCCUGGGCUAAGACAGAAAUACAUGCCAAAGGCUUCCUUCCUUCCGUCUCUUUGCUCUUGCAUCACGCCACUUGCCCAGUUCCUGAAUUCUGAUUAGGUUGUGAAUUGCACCUCCAGCUUUGAACACUUACAGGAUUUUUUUUUUUCAAUCUUAGUCCCUGAAUUAGAAUGUGUUACUUCUGUGUUCUCUUCCCAGCACUGGACAGGUCGUUGUUGGUGCUUCCGUGUGGAUGGAUCACAUCCCGAGGGUGGA
rnacentral:lncRNA from 1 species